rnacentral:rRNA from 1 species
UGGGGAAUUUUGCGCAAUGGGCGAAAGCCUGACGCAGCGACGCCGCGUGAGUGAAGAAGGCCUUAGGGUUGUAAAGCUCUUUCAGUCGUGACGAUGAUGACGGUACCCGCAGAAGAAGCCCCGGCUAACUCCGUGCCAGCAGCCGCGGUAAUACGGAGGGGGCAAGCGUUGUUCGGAAUUACUGGGCGUAAAGGGCGCGUAGGCGGCACAUCAAGUCAGAGGUGAAAGCCCCGGGCUCAACCUGGGAAUUGCCUUUGAAACUGAUGAGCUAGAGUCCGGAAGAGGAUAGCGGAAUUCCCAGUGUAGAGGUGAAAUUCGUAGAUAUUGGGAAGAACACCAGUGGCGAAGGCGGCUAUCUGGUCCGGUACUGACGCUGAGGCGCGAAAGCGUGGGGAGCAAACAGGAUUAGAUACCCCCGUAGUCC